rnacentral:rRNA from 1 species
GACGAACGCUGGCGGCGUGCCUAAUACAUGCAAGUAGAACGCAGUUGCGAACGGGUGAGUAACGCGUAGGUAACUGCCUCAUAGCGGGGGAUAACUAUUGGAAACGAUAGCUAAUACCGCAUACUGUGGGAUGGACCUGCGUUGUGUUAGCUAGUUGGUGAGGUAAAGGCUCACCAAGGCGACGAUACAUAGCCGACCUGAGAGGGGGAUCGGACACACUGGGACUGAGACACAGGCCAGACUCCGACGGGAGGGAGCAGUAGGGAAACUUCGGCAAAGGACGGAAGUCUGACCGAGCAACGCCGCGGGAGUGAAGAAGGUUUUCGGAUCGUAAAGCUCUGUUGUUAGAGAAGCGGUAACUAACAAGAAAGGGACGGCUAACUACGUGCCAGCAGCCGCGGUAAUAC